rnacentral:misc_RNA from 1 species
GAUGAAGAACGCAGCGAAAUGCGAUAAGUAAUGUGAAUUGCAGAAUUCAGUGAAUCAUCGAAUCUUUGAACGCACAUUGCGCCCGCCAGUAUUCUGGCGGGCAUGCCUGUUCGAGCGUCAUUUCAACCAUCAAGCCCCCGGCUUGUGUUGGGACCUGCGGCUGCCGCAGGCCCUGAAAAGCAGUGGCGGGCUCGCUGUCACACCGAGCGUAGUAGCAUACAUCUCGCUCUGGGCGUGCUGCGGGUUCCGGCCGUUAAACCACCUUCAUAACCCAAGGUUGACCUCGGAUCAGGUAGGAAGACCCGCUGAACUUAAGCAUAUCAAUAAGCGGAGGA